AGCAUGUGCGCGAGUCAUUGGGACAAGCCUAAAGGCGAAAUGAAAGUGAAGGUCAGCCUAGGACCGAGGGAGGAUGGGUCCGGAAAAGGACCCCGCACUCCCGGGGCGUCCCGUUCUCACUGCGAGAAGGGGCGCACCCAGAGCGUACACGCUGGGACCCGAAAGAUGGUGAACUAUGCCUGGUCAGGACGAAGUCAGGGGAAACCCUGAUGGAGGUCCGUAGCGAUUCUGACGUGCAAAUCGAUCGUCGGAACUGGGUAUAGGGGCGAAAGACUAAUCGAACCAUCUAGUAGCUGGUUCCCUCCGAAGUUUCCCUCAGGAUAGCUGGCGCUCGCCGUUGGCGAGUCUCAUCCGGUAAAGCGAAUGAUUAGAGGCAUUGGGGUCGAAACGGCCUCAACCUAUUCUCAAACUUUAAAUGGGUGAGAUCUCCGGCUUGCUUGAACGUGAAGCCGCGAGAUUUCGGAUCAGAGUGCCAAGUGGGCCACUUUUG
rnacentral:rRNA from 2 species